UCUGUAAUGACUCGGAAGCACUUAGCUCCAUGCUGGGAACAUAGGAAGUGUCUGGGACGGAUGGGAUUGUCCAAAGAUGGUCAUAUCGAUGCUGAUACCUUCCCACGGGCUCUUUUUCCUAUGUGAUGGUGACACUCCUUCCCUGACCACUGGGUUUAGAAUCCCUCUUCUUGAACCAGCAUGUGCCUUGGCCAACAGAGUACAAUGGAAAGAACACUGACUUCUGAGGCUAGGUCAUUAAGCGUCCACCUGCCUCUCUCAUUUAGUCUAUCUCGAGACACGGCCCCGCUGUCUGAGUCUUCCCACUCUUGGUACCAACCAGAGUGAGUGAGACAAUGGCCCCACUCAGAGCCGCUGCAAGGAUGCCGAGGAGAGCAGAGGCAAACUGUCCCCACCAAGCCCUGACCCGACUGCAGAUCUUGAGCCUUCUCAAAAGCUGAAGUGCUUGCCAGGACCAAGGUGGGUAUUAAACCCAUGAAUAACGGCUGAGGCUUCGUCUGAAGACUCCAUAGUUUCCCUGAGGGGAUGCAUAUUCAUAUUCAUCUUUUAACCAAUGGAGAAACCAGAAGAUGACUCACCCUUCAGAGCUGAGGGGGAAGUCAUGAUGCCCUUGACAAGAAUCCCUCUGGCUUCUGGAUUUUUCUAGGCAAAUGCUUUGCUUCUGCACUGGAUUCCUUUAAGGAGGACUUUCCUAGGGCAUCUAAGAAUUUGCUUCCAGACCAUGAGUAUUUGAUGGAAGGCAGAGGAAGGAAGAGAAACAAGAGCUCUCGUCUGCUCUACAUCCAGAAGGAAUGAAGAAAAAUGAUGAAGGAUCUCUGAAAUCAUGUAAAUCAAUGGGAAAACAGGAUGGAUUCCCCAAAUUAAAUUUAUAUGCAAUUUUGCCUAGCAUUAUGAAAUAUUAGCUUUUGCAAAAACCUAACAUUUGCUACUAUAUACUGAACUGAAGAGUUUAUUUACAUGAAUCCUCAUGACAACCAUAGAUGUGGAUAAUUAUCCUCACCUGUCAUUGAGUAAACCAAGGCCCAGGAUGGGAAGGCACUUGUCAAAGGUCACAGAUAUUUCAAGUUCACAUCACUCCAUAAAUCAAUGCUC